rnacentral:tRNA from 4 species
GCCCCCAUCGUCUAGCGGCCUAGGACACCACCCUCUCAAGGUGGACGCACGGGUUCAAAUCCCGUUGGGGGUGCCA